CCUACGGGAGGCAGCAGUGGGGAAUAUUGCACAAUGGGGGAAACCCUGAUGCAGCGACGCCGCGUGAGUGAAGAAGUACUUCGUUAUGUAAAGCUCUAUCAGCAGGGAAGAAAAUGACGGUACCUGAGUAAGAAGCCCUGGCUAACUACGUGCUAGCAGCCGCGGUAAUACGUAGGGGGCAAGCGUUCUCCGGAUUUACUGGGUGUAAAGGGAGCGUAGACGGUAGUGCAAGUCUGGAGUGAAAGGCGGGGGCUCAACCCCCGGACUGCUCUGGAAACUGUACGGCUGGAGUGCAGGAGAGGUAAGUGGAAUUCCUAGUGUAGCGGUGGAAUGCGUAGAUAUUAGGAAGAACACCAGUGGCGAAGGCAGCUUACUGGACUGUAACUGACGUUGAGGCUCGAAAGCGUGGGGAGCAAACAGGAUUAGAUACCCCUGUAGUC
rnacentral:rRNA from 1 species